GUGCUUGCUUGGGCAGUACAUAUACUAAAAUUAGAACAAAUCAGAGAUGAGCAUGGCCCCUGAGCAAGGAUAACACGCAAAUUCGUGAAGAGUUUCAUAUUUUC
ensembl:snRNA U6 U6 spliceosomal RNA